GAGUCCGCGGCCGAUUAGCUAGUUGGCGGGGUAACGGCCCACCAAGGCGAAGAUCGGUAGCCGGCCUGAGAGGGCACACGGCCACACUGGCACUGAAACACGGGCCAGACUCCUACGGGAGGCAGCAGUGGGGAAUCUUGCACAAUGGGCGAAAGCCUGAUGCAGCGACGCCGCGUGAGCGAUGAAGCCCUUCGGGGUGUAAAGCUCUUUCGACGGGAACGAUAAUGACGGUACCCGGAGAAGAAGCUGCGGCUAACUACGUGCCAGCAGCCGCGGUAAUACGUAGGCAGCGAGCGUUGUUCGGAAUUACUGGGCGUAAAGAGUGUGUAGGCGGUGUUCCCAGUCUGUUGUGAAAUCUCCCGGCUUAACUGGGAGGGUGCAGCGGAAACUAGAAUGCUAGAGGGUGGGAGAGGUAAGCGGAAUUCCUGGUGUAGCGGUGAAAUGCGUAGAUAUCAGGAGGAACACCUGUGGUGUAGACAGCUUACUGGACCACUUCUGACGCUGAGACACGAAAGCGUGGGUAGCAAACAGGAUUAGAUACCCUGGUNGUNCACGCCCUAAACGAUGCAUACUUGGUGUGAGCGAUUCAUUUCGUUCGUGCCGGAGCUAACGCGUUAAGUAUGCCGCCUGGGGAGUACGG
rnacentral:rRNA from 1 species